CCCUUAGAUGUCCUGGGCUGCACGCGCGCUACACUGGAAGUUACGGAUUGAGAUACUACCUUGUCCGAAAUGGUCCGGGUAAUCACCUAAAAGCUUGUCAUAAUUGGAAUGGAUUAUUGUAACUAGUAAUCCUGAACGAGGAAUUUCUAGUAAGUCCCAGUCAACAGCUGGUACUGAUUACGUCCCUGCCCUUUGUACACACCGCCCGUCGCUACUACUGAUUGGACGUUUAAGCAAGAUUUUUAAACACUGACAGUGUGUAGUUCACGCUAUACUACAGUGAGAAGAAGAAGAUCGAGCUUACUUGUCUAGAGGAAGUAAAAGUCGUAACA
rnacentral:rRNA from 1 species